rnacentral:lncRNA from 1 species
UAUAGCAUAAAUAAUUAUUGUAUUUGUAGAUAACAAGUUUGAACAUGUUAAUUUACAUUAUUAAAAUUUCAUGUUAUUUGAUUUAUGUUUUUGUGUAUUGCUUAUUGAUCUUAAAUACAGUGGUACCUCAGAAUUCGACACUAAUCCAUUGCCGAACUAUUGUCGAAUUGAGAAACUGUCGAAUUAUAGGACAAUAUUUUUCAUAUAAGACUAUAGAAAACAGAUUAAUUCAUUGUCAGACUCCCAUCCCACUUCUCCUAGUGGAGAGGUGAGAGAUACGCUAUAUUAUUUUCUUUAGAUAUCUUACUAUUGUUAAACACACUAAAUUAUAAAAUACAAUAUUCUAUACACAAUACACACAAUUUAUUAACCCUUGGAUGUUGGAAUAACAGACAUCCUAGUACCAUAAUCUUCUCUCAUUGUUAAAAGAUGUUACCACAGUUGUCUUAGAAAUGCCAUACUCUUGAGUUACAUCUUAAUUGUUCUAUCUUUCUGCAUGUUUAUCUACAAUUUCUUUCUUCUUUAUGCUGUCG